rnacentral:rRNA from 1 species
CCCUUAGAUGUUCUGGGCCGCACGCGUGCUACACUGAGUGGAUCAGCGGGUCAGGUUGCGCGAAAGUGUUUCCUAAUCUUGAAAUCCGCUCGUGAUGGGGAUUGACGGUUGCAAUUUUCCGUCAUGAACGCGGAAUACCUUGUAAGCGCGGGUCAUCAUCCCGCGCUGAAUACGUCCCUGCCCUUUGUACACACCGCCCGUCGCUCCUACCGAUUGAGUGGUCCGGUGAGGCUUUGGGAUCUGAGCGGAAAGAGCGUUUCGCUGUUUCUGCUCGGAAAACUCAGUCGAACCUUAUCAUUUAGAGGAAGGAGAAGUCGUAACA